rnacentral:ncRNA from 18 species
AACCCAACGGGCGAUGAGGCCCGCCCAAACUGCCCUGAAGAGGGCUGAUGGCCUCUACUGGCUU